GACGAACGCUGGCGGCGUGCUUAACACAUGCAAGUCGAACGGAAAGGCCCUGCUUGCAGGGUACUCGAGUGGCGAACGGGUGAGUAACACGUGGGUGAUCUGCCCUGCACUUCGGGAUAAGCCUGGGAAACUGGGUCUAAUACCGGAUAGGAGCCAUUUUUAGUGUGAUGGUUGGAAAGUUUUUUCGGUGUAGGAUGAGCUCGCGGCCUAUCAGCUUGUUGGUGGGGUAAUGGCCUACCAAGGCGGCGACGGGUAGCCGGCCUGAGAGGGUGGACGGCCACAUUGGGACUGGGAUACGGCCCAGACUCCUACGGGAGGCAGCAGUGGGGAAUAUUGCACAAUGGGCGCCAGCCUGAUGCAGCGACGCCGCGUGGGGGAUGACGGCCUUCGGGUUGUAAACUCCUUUCGCUAGGGACGAAGCUUUUUGUGACGGUACCUAGAUAAGAAGCACCGGCUAACUACGUG
rnacentral:rRNA from 1 species